rnacentral:lncRNA from 1 species
AAUGUAUUCCUACAAUCAUAAAAGCUAUGGCUUUAGUUAGCCUGGUUUUGAUAUUUGAAAAUAGAUAUAUUAGUUUCACAUGCAAACUGAGGAUUAGAAAUGAUCAAAAAUGAGUUCAUAUGCCAAGUGUGUAUAUAACAAAGUUUUCAGUGAUUUAAAGAUUCUUACAGUCAGCACACUUAAGGACAACUGAUGUGACUAACUCCUGCAUCUUUAAUAUAUUAGAGUUACUUUUUCACUUUAUUGGGAAGUAAAGUUUCUUAACCAUUGUCAAAAAAAAAAAAAAAAAAAAAGAAAAGGAAAGCAAAUAAAUAUUUUGGGUCAAGCAAGCUACCAGUCUGAAAAAUCUUGCCUUAAGUAGAACCACACUCUGAAUCAUUCAUCUCCAUCAAGGACUUGUAGGUCAAGCAGAAACAAAUGGUGCUCAGAAAUGGGGAGAAUCUCAGAUGUCUACAUUACAAAGUACUUUUCAAGUCUAUGCGUGUGUGAUGUGCGUUUGGGUUGGCCCUUGGGAUGAUUUCAGAAGCAAUUGAAAUAUGAAAUUUCUCUUUUCCUUUAUGUACAGGAAUUUUUUUUUUUUGGAGAAAACUGAAGAGAAUAAAUAAAUGAUCAACUGCAAAGCUUUUUAGGAAUGUUGAGGUAUUGCCUGUCAAAAAAGUUCUUUGGCUAAAGCGAUUUGGGUUUUAUGCUUUAUCACUUGCUUGUUCAAGUAAUUGAAUUCUGAAGAGAAUUAUUCUCUGCCUCUUCUGGGAGGUACCCAAAGAAGGAAGCUCAUGCAACCCCUUGGCCUUUCCCUUCCUGCUGGCUAAAAGAUGAGUCUGUUGGAUUGAAUGAAAUGGAUCCCUUCUGUGUGUGACAGAUAGGAAGGGAAGACAGACCUUUAGGUAGCUGGACAUUUACCUGGUCCUCGGUGAGACAGCCUGUCCCCUCACACUUUGGAAAGAUGGCAGGGUGGGGUGCAGUUUGGACUGAAACCUUUGGAAAUAUAACCAGAGAAGAGUGAGGGG